rnacentral:rRNA from 1 species
CCUACGGGGAGCAGCAGUGGGGAAUAUUGGACAAUGGGCGAAAGCCUGAUCCAGCCAUGCCGCGUGUGUGAAGAAGGCCUUCGGGUUGUAAAGCACUUUCAGUGGGGAAGAAAGCCUUGGGGCUAAUACCCUCGAGGAAGGACAUCACCCACAGAAGAAGCACCGGCUAACUCCGUGCCAGCAGCCGCGGUAAUACGGAGGGUGCGAGCGUUAAUCGGAAUUACUGGGCGUAAAGCGCGCGUAGGCGGUCUGAUAAGCCGGUUGUGAAAGCCCCGGGCUCAACCUGGGAACGGCAUCCGGAGCUGUCAGGCUAGAGUGCAGGAGAGGAAGGUAGAAGUCCCGGUGUAGCGGUGAAAUGCGUAGAGAUCGGGAGGAAUACCAGUGGCGAAGGCGGCCUUCUGGACUGACACUGACGCUGAGGUGCGAAAGCGUGGGUAGAAAACAGGAUUAGAUACCCGAGUAGUC